UACGAAGGGGACUAGCGUUGUUCGGAAUCACUGGGCGUAAAGCGCACGUAGGCGGAUGUGUCAGUCAGGGGUGAAAUCCCGGAGCUCAACUCCGGAACUGCCUCUAAGACUGCAUCGCUUGAAUCCGGGAGAGGUGAGUGGAAUUCCGAGUGUAGAGGUGAAAUUCGUAGAUAUUCGGAAGAACACCAGUGGCGAAGGCGGCUCACUGGACCGGUAUUGACGCUGAGGUGCGAAAGCGUGGGGAGCAAACAGG
rnacentral:rRNA from 1 species